GUGUAAAAGAGGAAGCACUAAUACAGAGGAAUCCGACAACGGCCUUGGGGAAAAUGAGCUGCCAAGAUUAGAGACCCUAGAAAGGGGUCUGUGUCUGGCUAGGAACCUUCAACACUGCUGAAGAAGCUGCAAGAACUUAUGAUGUUGAAGCUCGGAGGAUCUGAGGCAAUAAAGCUAAGGUGAAUUUCCAAGAAGAGACAUCCUCCACAACUUACAAACGCACUACGAAGACAAACCCUCAGAAGGGAUGU